rnacentral:rRNA from 1 species
UACGUAGGGUGCGAGCGUUGUCCGGAAUUAUUGGGCGUAAAGGGCUCGUAGGCGGUUUGUCGCGUCGGGAGUGAAAACCUCGGGCUUAACUCGGGGCUUGCUUUCGAUACGGGCAGACUAGAGGUAUGCAGGGGAGAACGGAGUUCCUGGUGUAGCGGUGAAAUGCGCAGAUAUCAGGAGGAACACCGGUGGCGAAGGCGGUUCUCUGGGCCGAUACUGACGCUGAGGAGCGAAAGCGUGGGGAGCGAACAGG